rnacentral:rRNA from 1 species
GACGAACCGUGCGAACGUUGUUCGGAAUCACUGGGCUUAAAGGGCGCGUAGGCGGGCUCACAAGUCAGGGGUGAAAUCCCACGGCUCAACCGUGGAAGUGCCUUUGAUACUGUGGGGCUUGAGGGAGGUAGGGGCGUGCGGAACUUCCGGUGGAGCGGUGAAAUGCGUAGAUAUCGGAAGGAACACCGGUGGCGAAGGCGACUCUUUGGCCUGUAACUGACGCUGAGGCGCGAAAGCGUGGGGAGCAAACAGG